AAUUGUCAUGUCCACAAUCUAACUAUUACAUGAACAUACUUCAAAACUCUGGCUAACCUCCUGGUCUACCCUGUACCUGCACAUCUGGGGUUAGGGGAGAGGGGUGAGCUACAAAGCCCAGUGAGCAGAAUAGUGAAAUCAUAUAUUGAAAUUUCAUGCCAUCAUGUAAUGCAACACACUACAACAAAUCACAUCUCGGAUGGUAUUGUCACCAAUAGUCCUCUACAUAGUCCAACUGUGCCGGGACGUAGAAUGGGUACAACCGGUCUUUCCCUUAACAUAACAUAUCAUACAGUCCAACUGUGCCAGGGACGUAGAAUGGGUACAACCUGGACUUCCUCUUACAUCGUGCCAGGGACGUAGAAUGGGUACAACCUGGACUUCCAUACCAUAUCAUGCCAUAACAUCAUCAUGCAUAUGAGGACUAAAGGAUCAUCCAAUGACCAAUCCACAUCAACAUCAUAAAUGCAAUGCAACAUAUUCGUGAAUACUAAUGCAAGCAACCUACUAUAUCUCAUGGCAUUCAUGAUGCAUGGAUCAUGCUCAAAAUUCAUAUUUCAUU
rnacentral:lncRNA from 1 species